rnacentral:rRNA from 1 species
CUCCAGACUCCUACGGGAGGCAGCAGUCGGGAAUAUUGCGCAAUGGAGGAAACUCUGACGCAGUGACGCCGCGUGCAGGAAGAAGGUUUUCGGAUUGUAAACUGCUUUAGACAGGGAAGAUAAUGACAGUACCUGUAGAAUAAGCUCCGGCUAACUACGUGCCAGCAGCCGCGGUAAUACGUAGGGGGCAAGCGUUAUCCGGAUUUACUGGGUGUAAAGGGAGCGUAGACGGCGAUGCAAGUCAGAAGUGAAAGCCCGCGGCUCAACUGCGGGACUGCUUUUGAAACUGUAUAGCUUGAGUGCAGGAGAGGUAAGCGGAAUUCCUAGUGUAGCGGUGAAAUGCGUAGAUAUUAGGAGGAACACCAGUGGCGAAGGCGGCUUACUGGACUGUAACUGACGUUGAGGCUCGAAAGCGUGGGGAGCAAACAGGAUUAGAUACCCGAGUAG